UGGGGAAUUUUGGACAAUGGGGGAAACCCUGAUCCAGCCAUCCCGCGUGUGCGAUGAAGGCCUUCGGGUUGUAAAGCACUUUUGGCAGGAAAGAAACGUCGCGGGUUAAUACCCCGCGAAACUGACGGUACCUGCAGAAUAAGCACCGGCUAACUACGUGCCAGCAGCCGCGGUAAUACGUAGGGUGCAAGCGUUAAUCGGAAUUACUGGGCGUAAAGCGUGCGCAGGCGGUUCGGAAAGAAAGAUGUGAAAUCCCAGAGCUUAACUUUGGAACUGCAUUUUUAACUACCGGGCUAGAGUGUGUCAGAGGGAGGUGGAACUCCGCGUGUAGCAGUGAAAUGCGUAGAUAUGCGGAGGAACACCGAUGGGCGAAGGCAGCCUCCUGGGAUAACACUGACGCUCAUGCACGAAAGCGUGGGGAGCAAACAGGAUUAGAUACCCUGGUAGUCCACGCCCUAAACGAUGUCAACUAGCUGUUGGGGGCCUUCGGGCCUUGGUAGCGCAGCUAACGCGUGAAGUUGACCGCCUGGGGGAGUACGGUCGCAAGAUUAAAACUUAAAUGAAUUGACGGGGGUCAUAGCUGUUUCCU
rnacentral:rRNA from 1 species